CUGCUCGCUUUGGCAGCACAUACACUAAAAUUGGAAUGAUACAGAGAGAUUAGCAUGGCCCCUGUGCAAGGGUGACGCACAAAUUCAUGAAGCAUUCCAUAUUUUU
rnacentral:snRNA from 1 species